rfam:Gossypium raimondii Chr12_contig_296, whole genome shotgun sequence.
AAUCCGUGGUGCAGGCAUUUUAGAAUCAACAUUUUAAAUCGUUCAGAUGCCUCACAAAAACUUUCUCUCUCCUAUCUAAAAAUAACAAUCUCUCUUCUUAGUUG